GGCAAGAUGGCCGAGCGGUCUAUGGCGUUAGAUUCAAGUAGAUGAUUCUGUUAAGAUGAUAUCUCUUCUUCUCUUCUAAGAGAUUCCUAAUCCCGAAAGGGGCCGGGGUUCGAAUCCCCGUCUUGUCA